rnacentral:rRNA from 1 species
CUACGGGGCGCUGCAGUGGGGAAUAUUGCACAAUGGACGAAAGUCUGAUGCAGCAACGCCGCGUGGAGGAUGACACAUUUCGGUGCGUAAACUCCUUUUAUAUCCCAAGAUAAUGACGGUAGGAUAUGAAUAAGCGCCGGCUAACUCCGUGCCAGCAGCCGCGGUAAUACGGAGGGCGCAAGCGUUACUCGGAAUCACUGGGCGUAAGGAGCGUGUAGGCGGAUAGAUAAGUUGGGAGUGAAAUCCUAUGGCUUAACCAUAGAAUUGCUUCCAAAACUGUCUAUCUAGAAUAUGGGAGAGGUAGAUGGAAUUUCUGGUGUAGGGGUAAAAUCCGUAGAGAUCAGAAGGAAUACCGAUUGCGAAGGCGAUCUACUGGAACAUUAUUGACGCUGAGACGCGAAAGCGUGGGGAGCAAACAGGAUUAGAUACCCGCGUAGUC